rnacentral:rRNA from 1 species
GCUGGCGGCAGGCCUAACACAUGCAAGUCGAGCGGUAGCACAGAGAGCUUGCUCUCGGGUGACGAGCGGCGGACGGGUGAGUAAUGUCUGGGAAACUGCCUGAUGGAGGGGGAUAACUACUGGAAACGGUAGCUAAUACCGCAUAACGUCGCAAGACCAAAGUGGGGGACCUUCGGGCCUCAUGCCAUCAGAUGUGCCCAGAUGGGAUUAGCUAGUAGGUGGGGUAACGGCUCACCUAGGCGACGAUCCCUAGCUGGUCUGAGAGGAUGACCAGCCACACUGGAACUGAGACACGGUCCAGACUCCUACGGGAGGCAGCAGUGGGGAAUAUUGCACAAUGGGCGCAAGCCUGAUGCAGCCAUGCCGCGUGUGUGAAGAAGGCCUUCGGGUUGUAAAGCACUUUCAGCGGGGAGGAAGGCGGUAAGGUUAAUAACCUUGUCGAUUGACGUUACCCGCAGAAGAAGCACCGGCUAACUCCGUGCCAGCAGCCGCGGUAAUACGGAGGGUGCAAGCGUUAAUCGGAAUUACUGGGCGUAAAGCGCACGCAGGCGGUCUGUCAAGUCGGAUGUGAAAUCCCCGGGCUCAACCUGGGAACUGCAUUCGAAACUGGCAGGCUAGAGUCUUGUAGAGGGGGGUAGAAUUCCAGGUGUAGCGGUGAAAUGCGUAGAGAUCUGGAGGAAUACCGGUGGCGAAGGCGGCCCCCUGGACAAAGACUGACGCUCAGGUGCGAAAGCGUGGGGAGCAAACAGGAUUAGAUACCCUGGUAGUCCACGCCGUAAACGAUGUCGAUUUGGAGGUUGUGCCCUUGAGGCGUGGCUUCCGGAGCUAACGCGUUAAAUCGACCGCCUGGGGAGUACGGCCGCAAGGUUAAAACUCAAAUGAAUUGACGGGGG